rnacentral:tRNA from 1 species
UUAAAAUCCGUUGGUUUUUUACAACCGUGAGGGUUCAAAUCCCUCUACCCCCA